AAUCAAGUGCAGUGAGUUUGCGGGAUGGAGGAAGAGAGUCUGAAACAAUGGUGGAUAGUCUAUUGGGUGAGAGAGAUCGUAGGUUUCUGCGAAAGGUAACCAGUGUUGGAGUGUGUGGCGGCUUAGGAGUAAUGUGGAUGGUGAGAGAAAGAAGGAAAAG